UACGAAGGGUGCAAGCGUUACUCGGAAUUACUGGGCGUAAAGCGUGCGUAGGCGGUUUGUUAAGUCUGUCGUGAAAGCCCUGGGCUCAACCUGGGAAUUGCGAUGGAUACUGGCAAGCUAGAGUACGGUAGAGGAUGGUGGAAUUCCCGGUGUAGCGGUGAAAUGCGUAGAUAUCUGAAGGAACAUCAGUGGCGAAAGCGACUUCCUGGACCAAUACUGACGCUCAAGUGCGAAAGCGUGGGGAGCAAACAGGG
rnacentral:rRNA from 1 species